CGCCAGGGCCCAUGGACUGUGGACUUACGAACCCCGCCAGGGCCGGAAGGCAGCAACGGUAGUCUGCUCUGCGGAUGCCGUGGUCACCCUGGCAUUU
rnacentral:SRP_RNA from 1 species